GAUCCUGGCUCAGAUUGAACGCUGGCGGCAUGCCUUACACAUGCAAGUCGAACGGCAGCGCGGGGCAACCUGGUGGCGAGUGGGCGAACGGGUGAGUAAUAUAUCGGAACGUGCCCGGUCGUGGGGGAUAACGUAGCGAAAGUUACGCUAAUACCGCAUACGAUCUAAGGAUGAAAGCGGGGGAUCGCAAGACCUCGCGCGAUUGGAGUGGCCGAUAUCUGAUUAGCUAGUUGGUGAGGUAAAGGCUCACCAAGGCGACGAUCAGUAGCUGGUUUGAGAGAACGACCAGCCACACUGGAACUGAGACACGGUCCAGACUCCUACGGGAGGCAGCAGUGGGGAAUUUUGGACAAUGGGGGCAACCCUGAUCCAGCAAUGCCGCGUGAGUGAAGAAGGCCUUCGGGUUGUAAAGCUCUUUUGUCAGGGAAGAAACGGUGAGUUCUAAUAAAGCUUGCUAAUGACGGUACCUGAAGAAUAAGCACCGGCUAACUACGUG
rnacentral:rRNA from 1 species